rnacentral:rRNA from 1 species
UUGUCUUUUAAUUGGGGACUGGAAUGAAAGGAAUAACUAUGUAAUUUUGUCUUAUAACAAUAUUUUGAAUUUAAUUUUUUAGUAAAAAAGCUAAAAUUACUCUUAAAGACAAGAAGACCCUAUUAAGCUUUACAAUCUAAUAUUACUUUCAAACUAAUAUAAAAAUUGUUCUGCUGGGGCAGCAAGUAAAACAAUAUUAUUUAUACAUUGUGAUAAAUAAAUCUAGAAAAAUCAAUGAAUUAUUAAAAAAUAACAAGUUACUAUAGGGAUAACAGCAUAAUUUUUUUAAAGAGUUCGCAUCAACAAAAAAGUUUGUGACCUCGAUGUUGGAUUAAGAAUUCUAUUUUGCGCAAGAGUAAAAAAAGAAAGUCUGGGGNU